rnacentral:rRNA from 1 species
GGGGGGUGCAAGCGUUAAUCGGAAUUACUGGGCGUAAAGCGCGCGUAGGCGGUCUGGUCAGUCGGAUGUGAAAGCCCCGGGCUCAACCUGGGAAUUGCAUUCGAUACUGCCCGACUAGAAUAUGGAAGAGGGAAGUGGAAUUUCCGGUGUAGCGGUGAAAUGCGUAGAGAUCGGAAGGAACACCAGUGGCGAAGGCGGCUUCCUGGUCCAAUAUUGACGCUGAGGUGCGAAAGCGUGGGGAGCGAACAGGAUUAGAUACCCUGGUAGUCCACGCCGUAAACGAUGAGAACUAGAUGUCGGGAGGGUUUAGCCUUUCGGUGUCGCAGCUAACGCGUUAAGUUCUCCGCCUGGGGAGUACGGUGGCAACACUA